UACGUAGGGGGCAAGCGUUGUCCGGAUUUACUGGGCGUAAAGAGCGUGUAGGCGGCCACGCAGGUCCGUUGUGAAAACUGGAGGCUCAACCUUCAGACGUCGACGGAAACCGUGUGGCUAGAGUCCGGAAGAGGAGAGUGGAAUUCCUGGUGUAGCGGUGAAAUGCGCAGAUAUCAGGAAGAACACCAAUGGCGAAGGCAGCUCCUCUGGGACGGUACUGACGCUGAGACGCGAAAGCGUGGGGAGCGAACAG
rnacentral:rRNA from 1 species